rnacentral:rRNA from 1 species
GAUGAACGCUAGCGGCAGGCCUAACACAUGCAAGUCGAGGGGCAGCACAGGAAAGUAGUAAUACUUUUGGGUGGCGACCGGCGGACGGGUGCGUAACGCGUAUACAACCUGCCUUCUACUGGGGGAUAAUUCGGAGAAAUCUGGUCUAAUACCCCAUAACAACAGAUGAGGCAUCUCAUUGGUUUAAAAGCUCCGGCGGUAGAAGAUGGGUAUGCGUGACAUUAGAGAGUUGGUGGGGUAACGGCUCACCAAGUCGACGAUGUCCAGGGGGACUGAGAGGUUAGCCCCCCACACUGGUACUGAGACACGGACCAGACUCCUACGGGAGGCAGCAGUGAGGAAUAUUGGUCAAUGGGGGCAACCCUGAACCAGCCAUGCCGCGUGCAGGAAGACGGCUCUAUGAGUUGUAAACUGCUUUUGUACAGGGAUAAAUCGGGGAACGUGUUCCCCGUUGAAGGUACUGUACGAAUAAGGAUCGGCUAACUCCGUGCCAGCCGCCGCCGUAA